rnacentral:lncRNA from 1 species
CUGUUUCAUCAUCGGCUCUGGACAACCACAGCCCGCAUUCCUCGAGUAAGGAGCUAUACUCUGCCAUGGUUUUGGAGCAAGAUAAUCUGGCCAGCCACAGGCUGGGGGAAGGCUGGUCCUUUCAAGGAGAGACGUGCAAAAGGAUGUGAAAUUAUCAGGGAAGAUGCAAGGUGGCAAGCAUGACCUCAUGUCUGCUUUGGGAUCACAGAAACAGUGACCGGUGCUCCGAGGCAAGAGCAGAGAUGGUUUGCUCCAAGUGGUUGACUGACAAGAGACCAGGGGAACCUUCAGGGGGGCCAGGAGUGACAGGCAGCUUUGUCAACAAUGCUGGGAGAGAAACAUCUCUCUAGCAAGAAUCUCUGAGCACGCUAACCAGACCACAGCUGAGCACCCCGGAAUCCACCUGCUCCAGGAAAAGUUUCCAUCUUCCAAAAGCUAUGGAUCCCAUAUCUUAAUUAGUUACUUCGGGUACACUGACAACAGAGCACCCCCAGCAAAGACAAC